CAGCCGUAAACAAUGUGCGUUAGGUGUGUCGGUAACCACGCGUUACUGAUGCGCCGAAGAGAAAUCGUGAAACGCACCACCUGGGAAGUACGGUCGCAAGGCUGAAACUUAAAGGAAUUGGUGGGGGAGCACCACAACAGGUGGAGCCUGCGGUUUAAUUGGAUUCAACGCCGGACAUCUCACCGGAUAAGACAGCUGAAUGAUUGUCAAUCUGAAGGUUUUACAUGACUAGCUGAGAGGAGGUGCAUGGCGUCAGUGACU
rnacentral:rRNA from 1 species